AGCGAACGCUGGCGGCAGGCUUAACACAUGCAAGUCGAGCGGGCACUUCGGUGUCAGCGGCAGACGGGUGAGUAACACGUGGGAACGUGCCCUUCGGUUCGGAAUAACUCAGGGAAACUUGAGCUAAUACCGGAUACGCCCUUUGGGGAAGGUUACUGCGAGGAUCGGCCGCGUCUGAUUAGCUAGUUGGUGGGGUAAGUGGCCUACCAAGGCGACGAUCAGUAGCUGGUCUGAGAGGAUGAUCAGCCACACUGGGACUGAGACACGGCCCACGACUCCUACGGGAGGCAGCAGUGGGGAAGUAUUGGACAAUGGGCGCAAGCCUGAUCCAGCCAUGCCGCGUGAGUGAUGAAGGCC
rnacentral:rRNA from 1 species